rnacentral:rRNA from 1 species
UACGUAGGGGGCGAGCGUUGUCCGGAUUCAUUGGGCGUAAAGGGCGCGCAGGCGGCUCGGAAAGUCGGGUGUGAAAACUCGGGGCUCAACCCCGGGCGUGCAUCCGAUACUGCCGGGCUUGAGGCAGGUAGGGGAGAUCGGAAUUCCUGGUGUAGCGGUGAAAUGCGCAGAUAUCAGGAGGAACACCGGUGGCGAAGGCAGGUCUCUGGGCAUUAACUGACGCUGAGGAGCGAAAGCGUGGGGAGCGAACAGG